AAUCAUACACGAUCUAGAUGCGAAUCAACGAUGAUGGUGGACGAUCAUCAUCAAAAGAUCUUAAUUAAUCAGUUACAUUAUUGUGUUAUAUGCGACAAUUAUAUUAACCAAAACAUUAGUCCUUACCAUAGAUUUUCUUCUUUCUUUUUUAGGAUAUUCAAAUUCUCAGUGCAAAGCCAAAACAAGUGAAAGCAAACUUAACAAUAGUUUAGGGUAAUGGUGACGAGGACGAGGACGACGAAGGUGACCAUCAUUUUUUAAUUGUUAACAAAUAUAUAAUAAUAUAGAUCAUUACAAUGUUUGUAAAGUGAAGGAGAUUUCAGAAGACUGGAAAUUUCAGUUAUUUUUCUUUAUUUUCCAGUGAGUGAAAGCAAGAGAGAAGAAAAAUGGAGGUUGGGUUCUUGGGGUUAGGGAUAAUGGGGAAGGCCGUGGCCACUAAUUUGAUGAAGAGUGGUUUCAAGGUCACUGUUUGGAACAGGACUCUCACUAAGUGUAAUGAACUGGUAGAGUUUGGUGCUUCCAUUAGAGAAAGUCCUGCUGUUGUGGUCUAGAAAUGUAAGAUUACUAUUGCUAUGUUGUCUGAUCCUGCUGCUGCACUAUCGGUUUGUAGUACUGUCACCCAAUCUUGGUAUUUAUUUAUUUCCUUUGAGAAAUAUAAAUAUAAUUUUUAUUUAUUUAUUUAUUUAUUU